UACGGGAGGCAGCAGUGAGGAAUAUUGGGCAAUGGAGGCAACUCUGACCCAGCCAUGCCGCGUGCAGGAAGACGGCCCUAUGGGUUGUAAACUGCUUUUGUACGGGAAGAAACACUCCCUCGUGAGGGAGCUUGACGGUACCGUAAGAAUAAGGAUCGGCUAACUCCGUGCCAGCAGCCGCGGUAAUACGGAGGAUCCAAGCGUUAUCCGGAAUCAUUGGGUUUAAAGGGUCCGUAGGCGGCCUUAUAAGUCAGUGGUGAAAUCUCCUAGCUCAACUAGGAAACUGCCAUUGAUACUGUAGGGCUUGAAUUUUUGUGAAGUAACUAGAAUAUGUAGUGUAGCGGUGAAAUGCUUAGAUAUUACAUGGAAUACCAAUUGCGAAGGCAGGUUACUAACAAACGAUUGACGCUGAUGGACGAAAGCGUGGGGAGCGAACAGGAUUAGAUACCCUGGUAGUCCACGCUGUAAACGAUGGAUACUAGCUGUUUGAAGCAAUUUGAGUGGCUAAGCGAAAGUGAUAAGUAUCCCACCUGGGGAGUACGCACGCA
rnacentral:rRNA from 1 species